rnacentral:rRNA from 1 species
GGCUCUUGCUGGUCCGCCGCUCGGCUCGGGGUGUGGACUGUUGUCGGCCGCGCCGGCGGCCAAAGCCCGGGGGCCCUAGGUGCCCCCGGUGGCCGUCGUCGGCACGGCCGGUACCCGCGCGCCGAAAGGCGUGUCCCUCGGGGCACUGCGCUGCAACGGCCUGCGGGCUCCCCAUCCGACCCGUCUUGAAACACGGACCAAGGAGUCUGACAUGCGUGCGAGUCGACGGGUUCUGAAACCUGGGAUGCGCAAGGAAGCUGACGAGCGGGAGGCCCUCACGGGCCGCACCGCUGGCCGACCCUGAUCUUCUGUGAAGGGUUCGAGUUGGAGCACGCCUGUCGGGACCCGAAAGAUGGUGAACUAUGCCUGAGCGGGGUGAAGCCAGAGGAAACUCUGGUGGAGGCUCGAAGCGAUACUGACGUGCAAAUCGUUCGUCUGACUUGGGUAUAGGGGCGAAAGACUAAUCGAACCAUCUAGUAGCUGGUUCCCUCCGAAGUUUCCCUCAGGAUAGCUGGAGCCCAUUACGAGUUCUAUCAGGUAAAGCCAAUGAUUA